rnacentral:rRNA from 1 species
UCACGCUGUAAACGAUGUCGAUUUGGAGUUUGUUGCCUAGAGUGAUGGGCUCCGAAGCUAACGCGAUAAAUCGACCGCUGGGGAGUACGGCCGCAAGGUUAAAACUCAAAUGAAUUGACGGGGGCCCGCACAAGCGGUGGAGCAUGUGGUUUAAUUCGAUGCAACGCGAAGAACCUUACCUGGUCUUGACAUCCAUAGAAUUCUGCAGAGAUGUGGGAGUGCCUUCGGGAACUAUGAGACAGGUGCUGCAUGGCUGUCGUCAGCUCGUGUUGUGAAAUGUUGGGUUAAGUCCCGCAACGAGCGCAACCCUUAUUCUUUGUUGCCAGCGAUUUGGUCGGGAGCUCAAAGGAGACUGCCGUUGAUAAAGCGGAGGAAGGUGGGGACGACGUCAAGUCAUCAUGGCCCUUACGACCAGGGCUACACACGUGCUACAAUGGCGUAUACAAAGGGAAGCGAAGGUGCGAGCUGGAGCGGAUCUCAUAAAGUACGUCUAAGUUCGGAUUGGAGUCUGCAACUCGACUCCAUGAAGUCGGAAUCGCUAGUAAUCGUAGAUCAGAAUGCUACGGUGAAUACGUUCCCGGGCCUUGUACACACCGCCCGUCACACCAUGGGAGUGGGUUGCACCAGAAGUAGAUAGCUUAACCGCGAGGGGGGCGUUUACCACGGUGUGAUUCAUGACUGGGGUGAAGUCGUAACAAGGUAACCA